rnacentral:rRNA from 1 species
GUAUACAGGGUGACGCUUGUCCGGUGCUGGAACGUUAACGGUGGAGGUGGUGUGCCGCAAGGUGUACUGCUGACGCCCGAAGCGCCAGUGAACGACGGCGAUAACUAUAGAAUUGACGAUUGUAGUUAUAAAAUCUGGCUAUAUGCUGGAAACUCCGAGUAUCCAACAGUACCAUAAGGUAAUAAUCUGUUGGUGCGGACAAUCAGCAGGAAAGACUUGAAAAAUAAAUUUUCAAGAAUCCUCAGAGACUAUACGCCAGACUUCGAUGAGAAAGUCGAAGAUGAUAUAGUCCGAUCUCUGUGGCGACACAGAGGCAGGCUCAAAGGAGCUUAAUAAAAAGAUGAAUCGUCCAAAGGUAGCGUAACCCCUUGCCGGGUAAGUUCCGGCCCGCAUGAAAGGAUUCACGACUGGGGGACUGUCUCUAGGAGUUGCUCGGUGAAAAUACAAUAAGCGUGAAGACGCGCUUUACCUGCGGCUAGACGGAAAGACCCCAGGAGCUUUACUGUAGUCAGACAUUGAGUUUUGGUUUUGGAUGCGUAGCGUAGGUGGGAGACUUUGAGUCCCGCUUUUCGGGGCGGGAGGAGUCGCCAAUGAAACACCACUCUUUUAAAACCUUAAUUCUAACUCCGCCUAAGGUGGAAAACAGUGUCUGGCGGUCAGUUUAAGUGGGGCACUUGCCUCCUAAAAGGUAAUGGAGGCGUUUAAAGGUCGGCUAGCACCGGAUGGAAAUCGGAGCGAUUGGGCAAAGCCAUAAGCCGGCUUUACUGCGAGCAGGAUAUUGCGAGCAGUUGGGAAACCAGAACUUAGUGAACCGACGGAUUUUAUUAGAAAAUCCGAAGAUCAUCAGAUAAAAGUUACCCUGGGGAUAACAGGCUAGUAGAGCCCGCGAGUCCACAUCAACGGCUCUGUUCGGCACCUCGAUAAAUUAGCCGAUUGUCGAGGAUAAAUUGGCUCAUAACGGUGAAAGCCAUAUACAUUCAACCCAGCAUUAAUGCUAAAAUACAGUAUAUGGUCAACACCGUGGGAAGUUACGAAAAUAAGCAUUGGCAGAAAAAGUGGAUUCCGAUUAAGAAUUCACUUCAACUUACAAAGAAGCAAAAAGAAUUAAUUUAUGGUUCUCUUCUUGGUGAUGGAACUAUGCGUCUUGGAAAAGGUGCUAUUAAUGCAAAUUUCAAGAUUGAGCAUGGUUUGAUGCAAAAGGAAUAUGUAGAAUGGAAAUAUAAGAUUAUACAACCAUUUGUCUUUACUAAACCAAAGAUAAGUUACCGUUCUGACGAAAAUGGUAAUAAAUAUGCUAAAUCAUGGUGGUUUCGAACGAUUCGCCAUCCUGUAUUAACCGAAAUAUACCAUCAUUUUUAUAGCGGUGAAGGUUACAGAACUGGUAGAAAGCUUAUAUCGUCAGAAAUUAAAUACAAAUUAACACCAUUUGCAUUAGCGGUUUGGAUAAUGGACGAUGGAUCAUAUUCUAAUUAUAAGAUUGACAUAAGCACUUAUUCCUUUUCGCUAUCAGAAAUUAUUCUUCUUCGUGAAUAUUUUCAGAAUUUAUUCACAAUUACGAUUAAUUAUUAUCGUGAUCGUGAUAAGGGAUAUAGAAUGUAUUGCAAUCAGGAAGAAACUAAAAAAUUAAUAAAAGUUAUCUAUCCAUACAUCAUUCCAUCAAUGAUGUAUAAAAUUGGUUUUCGUAACCCCGUAACGACUGGAUCUCUGCAUUAUGCCAUUGCAGAGUGAAGAUAGUAGCUAACUACUAUAACACGCCAAUAUCUAGAUUGGAUAUUCUAGAUAAAUGUAUAGUCUGCGCUAUUAGUAAUAAUAGAAUUAGUGGUCGGCUCAUCACAUCCUGGGGGUGGAGAAGCUCCCAAGGGUUUGGCUGUUCGCCAAUUAAAGUGAUACGUGAGCUGGGUUCAAACCGUCAACCAAAACUUGUUACUGUUAGCAAGUUUGGCGGCCUGUGAUAGCAAUGUCACGGUGAAAAAAUCGACUCAUAUCGGAAAAAUCCUAACGGCGAAAACCUGCGUCGGAGGACAAUUCCGAGGGAAGUUGUACUAAUGCUAAGUUAAAUAGUAUUAACCCCCUAGAGACUUGCUAAAAAUUUAGCAGAGUUCUUCUUAACAUGGAGAGCUAAAACGUCGGUCUCCCGUUUAUACGGGAAGAUGGUAUAGUCCAUACACUUAGUAAUAAGUGAUAAAAUAUGCGUGAGACAGGUUGGUCCCUAUCUACCGCAGGCGCAGAUUCUUGAGGGGAUUUGAUCUUAGUAAAAUAUUGCUACUUCGUGGAGUAAUCCACGAUGACAAUUCGGCUAAUAACGGUGAAAUCUUAAUAAUUCUUGUCCGUUCCUGCCUACCGACAGGCAGGGAUAACCAUUAUUGCAGUUGGUCCUAUAAUAAUGGUACAAUUUACUUUAGGACCAGAAAUUAUUAAGACAAUACCGUGGGAAGUCUAUCUGAAAUUAACAAAAAAUUAGAAAAAAUUUUAGAUCUGACCCCGUAACGACUGAGGCAUUCUUUGCCAAGAUAGCGUUAUUUUAAAAACGCUAUAAUACGCCGACCCCCGCUUAUAGCGGGGUGAAGAUAUAGUCUAAGCACGUAGUGAUACGUGAGAACUUGACGAGAGGACCAGAUUGAACCGACCUCUGGUCUACCAGCUGUUCUGCCAAGAGCAUCGCUGGGUAGCUAUGUCGGGAAGGGAUAAGCGCUGAAAGCAUAUAAGCGCGAAACCCACCCCAAGAUUAGGAAUCAUUAAGAUUUCCCGAAGACUACGGGAUUGAUAGGCUGCAAGUGUAAGUCCCGCAAGGGAUUGAGCUGAGCAGUACUAAUAAAUCGAUUUUACCUUUAUCUUUU